rnacentral:lncRNA from 1 species
CUUUCCCGAGGCAGUUCCCUGCUCUCCCCUGCGGGAGGGGCACCCUAAUCCAGUCACCCCAUCCGACUUCAGAAUGUAUUCGUUGGGUUCAGCAACUCACCACCAGCAUCCAACCAAAUCUAACGGGUCAAUGGCGCCACAACGUAGUUCCUGGUCAGCUGUCACAUUGCUAUAAUCACGUCCUGCACCGUCCACAAGAUGGGGGGCCACCUCCCCAUUCGUCACCCCUCACACACCGACGUGUCGGCAGGCGGAUUUUGAACCCGGAACCUCCGGGAGCCGAAGUCAGGCCUUAACCUCUGCCAACCGCCUGCCAAAUGUAUGUAUGUGGCCGCCUCUGCUGCGUCUUGCGUUUGUAUGUGAUAAACCUUGUGCCUGCCAGUAGAUUGGCUGACCGGUCAACCACGUAUACACGUACACGUACAUAGUACGUACGUGCCUUCACAGAUGAAGGCCAAUGCGGGCUCAUUUGGGUCUAUAGCGUAUAUCCCUGCGCCUCCCUCUCAUGCCUGUGACCAAAGUAUGUAACGUUGGUGACUUAUGUCGUCUAUAGAGGCAUCCGACAAUCCUUAUCACCCUCCGAAACACAUUAUACGCGCGAACAUAUUACCAAUCCUCACCUUUCUAAAUACCAGGCUUUGCGCAUUGGUGCAGGUUUGGCUUGCGAAAACAUCAAGCAGGAGCUUCUUGCGUAAGCUUCGCAGCAUGGUUUCAGGCGGUGCCAGCAUAAUGUCACAAGUUUCCUACGCCAGCGGAAUCGGUCCUCGGACGUUGACUGCGAAGCUCAAGCGGAAUACGGCGCAGCAAGGAACCGAAUUGUUGGCUCAGGAGGCCGUUUCGCACUGGGUAAGUGAAAUACAAGGCUUUAUCAGGAAAUUCGCGCACAUACAGUAAGCGGCUACAGGAGUUUCGACAGCUAAGCAGCCGCAGGCAGGUGUCGCAAAAGCGGGUAGGUAUGUUGUUUCAAUGCAACACGUAAUUACUGUACAUCGGGUCAACAUGCAGAAUGCGGAACACUACUAGUGAUUCGGACAGCCUUCGGCCAGCCCUUGGGCCCCUGGCUCGUGUGGCCCGUUACACCGUUGGAGGGUAACACACAUGCACACGCACCGACACGCACAUACAUACAAACAUACAUACAUACAUACAGACAGACAGAUAGACAGAUAGAUAGACAGACAGACAGACAAACACCCUAGUAAUAUACUGUGCAACGCUGGGUCAGUUGUAUCCUCCCGCCUAGCUAUACAUCGUGGCUUCCUGCCUUUUCACUUGUCCGUAGGCAAAGGCCAAUGGAGACAGCAAUAUCUUCAACAGCCCACUCGGCCAGGCACUUCGAGCUGCAUCCCGGGCAGCCAUUACUCCGGUCCCUCUUCAACAUCUGAGCAGGGAGAUCAACUGCAGCAACAGCAAUAGCGGUCGGUACGUGCACCCGCCACAACAACAGAGCUCUUCACUAGUGGCAAUGGCAGCGGCCGCUGCCAGCGGGGCCACCGACACAGCAGGAGGCUCUGAAAGCUGCGUUGGCAAAGGUAGUAACAGCCUUAGGGAUUUGCUGAACAUAGGUUCGCAGAAGCUAUCAAGGCCGGUCCUGUGGUCUAGGACCCCUACACGGUCUCUUGCACCAGACGCGACCGACAUCAACACGUCCUUCCGUAACAGCUCCGGCCCCCGCAGCACCAGCAGCUUGCCAGCAGCCGAUGCCGGUGCCAUAGGGUAUACUAGGAGGCUCACUUCGCCGCAUGCAGGCAGGUCACACCAGUUGCAGCAGUUUGGCGUGAGGCCACCAAUGGUGGUACGAAGGGAGGGCAGUGGCCAGGCGCAUACAUCGGCGAUAGCACCCCUUGCCAUCGAGACUGACGACGGUGAUAAAGGGCCUGGACGCACACGGAGCCAUUACAGUGACGAUCUUGAUGGUAGCUGGAAGGAGAGAGUCGCAGCGGCCGAGGCUAGCCGGGGCUUUACCACAGGGACUCCGGGGGAUGCAGCCUCCAGUAGCACUGGCAGGAAGCCCAGUCGGUCCUCAAGUGCCGGAUCAAAAGCCGCGGCUUUGCCGAAGCCAAGCUCACCGGGCGCUCUUAACACCGAUGCUGUGGCCGCUGCUACGGCGAAUGACAGACAUAAGGGCCUCGUAUCAGCGGUGGGCGAUGCUUCAGGCAAAACCCGCCUGCAUCACGCUAAGCUGGGAAGGUCCCUAAGGAGUUUGACCAGUUUGCGCCAGCAGAGCGACGGCCCGGUGGCAGGGCCCUCAACGGGGCCCACAGGCCCACAGGCAGGAGCGAUGACGGUGGAAGAUGAUGCCACCCAGCUGGCAAAUAUAGUGCUUGCAAACCUUAUGGCACGCUUUGGCAACGGAACCGGCCUGGCGACUUUAGCAGCAGCCUCCGCUAGGACUUCCUUAAAAAGGGUGGCCAGUAGUGGGGACACACAGUCGUCUGCAGCUGGGCGGCCGACAUCGCCGCCGCCGCCGCCGACCACUCCCGGGUUUGGGGCAGCCCGAACCUCCUUGCUGUGGCGUCAACCAAGCGCGCCUGCCGUGACGUUUAGCCUGCGACCAAACACGCGGCCUGCGGCUGUCAACGGUUGCGGUGUUAGCGUUAAUGGCAAGAGAAGGAGCAGCGCUUAUGAUGAUGUGGCUGAUGGCGGCAGCGGCCCGGGCAAUCUCGAUGCGAUACUGGCUGGGGCCACGGAAGGAAUGAAUGCCGAGCAAUGGGCUCGACGCCUCCAUGGCGCACCUCGGUGUUCAGUGAGCAGUGUCCGGAUGGAAGCUCCGUGCCAAGAGACCUCCAAAUCUGUAGGCAGCGUAGGCCUAGGCCUAGGCCAGCGUGGCGACAGCGAGCACAACGAAACAGUGCCCCCAAGGAACAUCGUGUCCAGCGGCCCACUGCGACUACCAAUGCUGCCCGUGCUGUCACAACCACAAGAGGUGGGGCCACCAUUUGUAAGCGAUAGCCGUCUGGCUACCAUGCCGCCCCUCACUAGCAUCCACGGCACCACUCGGAGGCUUGACACGGGCAUUAACACCAUCACCUCGGAGCACUUGUCUGUGGGUCAGCUGCGCCAGCUGCCUGCAAUGCCAGGGACACCGUUGUUUGAUGCAUCACCUGCUGCAGACGUCAGACCGUCCGAGGCGGUAGUAUCAGAGAUGGUGCCUCCGAGGCCACCGCUACUGCCAAAGCUUACAUCUGAGUUGCAUCCCAGCCAGUCCACAAUGCCGCUGACCGGAGGCCCAUUGCUCGCCAGCCCCGUCAGCAACCUGCUGCCAGCGCCCUCAUUCUUGCCGACAACCCCACAGCGAGAGGGUGCCUUCAUGCUGCAAUGCCUUCCAGCCAGCCAUGGCAACCUAGCCGGGCAGAGACCUGCAUCCCUCCUCGACGAAUGUAGUGGCAGUGAUGGCGGCGAGGUCAAUUUCCGAGCAACGAACAGCCAGAAAUCAAGCAGCUGCAGAGGCAAUGCGGCUUUAAGGGCUGCAGAAUCGAGUGUAAUAGAGAACAAGGCAGCCAUGGAAGGCCCCAGAGCUUUUGUAGCAGGAUCCGAGGCUCCGCUUGUCGGUAUAGUGGCUGCUCCUCUGCCGGAGUCAGCAAUCCUGCGCUCUGAGCCCUCUGGCCAGCUCCAGGCAUCCGGUGCAUCCCCAGCAACGUUAACAGGUGUGCCGCCAGCUCAAGACAUCAACAGGACUGAAGAGACCGUCUACAGUCUACCUCCCCACCCCACCCCCACCCCCACCACACGGCGGGAACCAGAGUCCGUUUCCUUACUACAGCAUGACAAUGAUGAUAAUAGCCGGCAUGAAGCAGCGGCAGGCCCGAGCAGGGCAGGGACGUUGCCCCGGGACCACACAGGGCCGUCACCUGCACAGGUCUUGGUGAAUCCGCCUUUGACCCCUGCUGGUCUUGGCACUAGAAAUGAUGCAGAUCGCAAUGCCAGUAUCAACGAGAGAGGUAGUCGCAACAACAGCUGUAGCGGUGAUGCUAUCAGCAGCGGUGCUAGCAGCAGCAUUAGCAUUAGUGGAAGCGGUAGUAACGGCAUCACCAAAGGUCCUCUGCGCGGCGCAACGGCGGAGUCUGCCUCAGGAGGCGCUGUGGAAGGGCGCCAUCUCGCCACGGGCAUGGAGUUAGACCGCGGCCCUAGAUCCCUAAUUACCGGCAUAUCCCACUGGCAGCAGUCGUCGUUACAAGGGCCUGGCAGUGGUGUAGUAGUUGACAGCGGCAGUGACCGCGGGCUGGAUGAUGGCGGCCCCAGCGGUGGCGCCAAGGAAGCUUGGCUUGGCAGCAACUAUGCAGACGUUUUGGUUGCAUUGCUCAAGCUGAUACGGCACCUCGGCCGGAUGCAAGGGCAGAUAUCAGCGGCUGCUAGGGAGGUUGAGGUGAGGCCUGUUCUGUAACAUGGGCCCGAGUCCCAUCUGAACCCAGAUUAUUCGUUCCAUCACUGUGCAUAAUCGUACGAUUAGGCACUCGAUCGUAGGCACUCGAUCAUAGGCACUCGAUCAUUUGUUUCCGUGGCGUAAGCUCACCGUUAGGUAUAACGGAGCAGUCCUAGCUGAACGUGGCUAUGAUACGCCAUUGUUUUAUAUUUGUAGUAGCUGGUACACAGUACGGCACAUGCAUCAACAACAAACACACGCAAAGCGCUUCACUAGCAUCUCGAGAGGGCUUAUCAGCGGCCAGCUACUACACAAUCACUUUAUGUGGAAAAGUUACAGUGUGCGGCUAGAAUGAUUGAUUGACGGGUGAAGUCGAGCAGCGGUAUGUUCGUUUCUUUGGAUGCGUAGCUGAUGGAGCGCAAUAGCUGCUGGACGGGUGUGCGGAUGCCGCACAUUAUCGUUUGUCCCCAUACUGCACUUGCCUGAAGCCUCGGCCUAACACCCGCAGAUUGGUAUCCACCUACCACAAUCCAGAUGACAAAUAAACCGAAGACCAGUUAAUAUCCUGGACUAUAUCAUGACUUCUGAUGAUGGCCUGCUGUGUCAUCAGCUCGUGGGUCCAUUCCUGAUAAGGCAGGAUAUAGACGGACCACCGUUGUUUCACUCUGUCCAUCCACCGGGUUAAUCGCUUGCAGGCCAUGGCAACAUUCCUGUCGAGGCUCAUCUCCGAGGUGGAGGCAUUGCCGUCAUCCUCCACAAGAGACCGCAAGACAGUCAGGGCGGCCCUCCAUGCGGGCCUGCAGGCGGUGCUGGCGCAAGGCGGGGUGGGUAUGCACAGUAACAUCAUCACACUACUCAUUAUGCUGACUGACCUCAUUACGUAUAUACAUAUAUACAUUUAUAUAUGCGUAUACGCGUGUAUAUGCGAAUGUCUAUGUGUGUGUAUAUUAUGGCAAUCCAUGACUUGCAAGUCACAAGUGAAGACAUGUAUGUUGUUACAGGGUGGUUAACUUCGCCAGCGGCCCCCUUUCCCGGGGCAGUCCCUGCUCUCCCCUGCUAGAGGGGCACCCUAAUCCGUCACCCCAUCCGACUUCAGAAUGUAUUCGUUGGGUUCGGCAACUCACCACCAGCAUCCAACCAAAUCUAGCGGAUCAACGGCGCAUCAACUUAGUUCCUGGUCAGCUCGCAAGUUGAUAUUAUCACGUCCUACACCGUCCAUAAGAUGGGGGGCCACCUCCCAUUUCAUCACUCCUCAAACACCCGAGGAGCCGGCAGGCGGAUUUGAACCCGGGUCGACUGGGUCGACCGGGAGCAGAAGUCAGGCCUUAACCUCUGCCAGCCGCCUGCCUGUAUGUUUGCGUGUGUAGACAGGCGAGACAGGCGCAGGUGAAUGUGAACAUGGGUUACCCUGUAUGUUACCCAUCCGUCGUGUAGUACCCCAACCCCUUUGUUACCCCUCGGUAAGGGGUUACCCCUACCCCGGGGUUAGGUUACCCACCUCCCUUCGUACAUAGCCACAUGGGUAACCCCUACCCCUACACCCUG